rnacentral:sRNA from 1 species
GCUGGGCGUGGUGACGCGCACCUGUAAUCUCAGCUACUCAGAGGCUGAGGCAGGAGAAUCGCUUGAACCCGGGAGGCAGAGGUUGCAGUGAGCCAAGAUGGCACCACUGCACUCCAGCCUGGGUGAUAGAGUGAGACUCCAUCUCAA